CCUACGGGUGGCAGCAGUGAGGAAUAUUGGUCAAUGGCCGGAAGGCUGAACCAGCCAAGCCGCGUGAAGGACGAAGGUGCCAAGCAUUGUAAACUUCUUUUGUCAAGGGACAAAAUCAGGCUCGAGAGCCUGACCGAGGGUACUUGAAGAAAAAGCAUCGGCUAACUCCGUGACAGCAGCCGCGGUAAUACGGGGGAUGCGAGCGUUAUCCGGAUUUAUUGGGUUUAAAGGGUGCGUAGGCGGGCUGUAAAGUCAGAGGGAAAAGCCCGGGGCUCAACCCCGGCGAGCCGUUGAAACUGGCUGUCUUGAGAUGUCGAGAGGUAUGCGGAAUGCGCAGUGUAGCGGUGAAAUGCUUAGAUAUUGCGCAGAACUCCGAUUGCGAAGGCAGCAUACCGGCGGCGAUCUGACGCUGAGGCACGAAAGCGUGGGUAUCGAACAGGAUUAGAUACCCGUGUAGUC
rnacentral:rRNA from 1 species